GAUGAACGCUGGCGGCGUGCCUAAUACAUGCAAGUCGAGCGAACAGACGAGGAGCUUGCUCCUCUGACGUUAGCGGCGGACGGGUGAGUAACACGUGGAUAACCUACCUAUAAGACUGGGAUAACUUCGGGAAACCGGAGCUAAUACCGGAUAAUAUCUUGAACCGUAUGGUUCAAUAGUGAAAGACGGUUUUGCUGUCACUUAUAGAUGGAUCCGCGCCGCAUUAGCUAGUUGGGAAGGUAACGGCUUACCAAGGCAACGAUGCGUAGGCGACCUGAGGGGGGGGUCGGCCACACUGGAACUGAGACACGGACCAGACUCCUACGGGAGGCAGCAGUAGGGAAUCUUCCGCAAUGGGCGAAAGCCUGACGGAGCAACGCCGCGUGAGUGAUGAAGGUCUUCGGAUCGUAAAACUCUGUUAUUAGGGAAGAACAAAUGUGUAAGUAACUAUGCACGUCUUGACGGUACCUAAUCAGAAAGCCACGGCUAACUACGUG
rnacentral:rRNA from 1 species